rnacentral:lncRNA from 1 species
GUCGACUCAUUUUGCAUAACCAAUUUGGAAUUGGGCCACUCAAAUUGUUAGAAGAUGCGUCGAAACUGAAAGGCCCCUGUGAAAAAUUUGAACUCUGAUUGGGUAGAAGUUGUUCCAAAGACGAGAGAUGGUUAUUAGCAAGAUACAGAUACCGCAAACUUUUCUUCCACACCCAGUUUGGAAUUGCACCACUUAUUUUAUUAUUUGAAAGUUCGAGAUAUUCCAAAUUUUCUUGACUCUUUAAGAACUCUGGAAAUGAGCUUAUGUUACAAGAUUCCAGAUACAAUUCCCUCAACAUUGAAAAAGAGAAGUUUAAAUCACUUAAGGGAAGCUGUUUUGGAAAAUCAAUCACAUUGAAAGAAAGGUUUACCCUUAAAAGAGUGCUAUUCCACAACCAAUUAGGCACAACACCAUGGAUAUGGUUGUUAGAAAGAUCUAACACAACCAACUUGUCUUGUGUUUUGAUGAACUCUGGAAACGCACUUAUGUUACAAGACCUCAAAUGCAAUACUUUCAACAUUGGAAAUGAGAAGUUAGCAUCAUUUAAGGGAAGCUGUUUUGGAAAAUCAAUCAUAUUGAAAGAAAGGUCUACCCAUGAAAGACUGCUCUUCCACAA